GAUGAAGAACGUAGCAAAAUGCGAUACGUAAUGCGAAUUGCAGAAUUCAGUGAAUCAUCAAAUCUUUGAACGCAAAUUGCGCUCUCGGGAUAGGCCUGGGAGCACGCCUCUUUGAGUAUCGUUUCAACCACAACUCGAAAGCGCUGCUUUAUUGCAUCGCUGACGGAGAAUGAGCGCUCUUGCGUUUGCGAGAGGCUUUAAAUUGAGCGAGUGACUUGAUAUCUGUCGAAAGAUAGACUUCUGUCUGCGGUGACGAGGAUAACUUCACAUUCAGUUGUGAACCCUUCCAUCGUGACUGCAAGGCAGAGCUGUCUGCGAUAGCUGUCGCCUUGUCACGGCCCAUCUGUGGUCAUCUGUUGCGGUGAACACAGAACUCCAUUUGAACUAGAUCUCAAAUGAAGCGAGAAAACCCGCUGAACUUAAGCAUAUCAAUAAGCGGAGGA
rnacentral:misc_RNA from 1 species